rfam:Fluviicola taffensis DSM 16823, complete genome.
GACAAGAUGGCCGAAUGGUUAAGGCAACGGAUUGCAAAUCCGUUUUUUAUGAGUUCGAAUCUCAUUCUUGUCU